GCCGGGAUGAUGGAACUGCUAUGCCUGCCUACCGGCAGGCAGGCAUAGCGGACUUAAAAUCCGUUGAGAUCUAAUCUCGUGCGGGUUGGACUCCCGCUCCCGGCACCA
rnacentral:tRNA from 1 species